rnacentral:rRNA from 1 species
GCUCCUACGGGAGGCAGCAGUGAGGAAUAUUGGUCAGUGGGCGAGAGCCUGAACCAGCCAAGUCGCGUGAAGGAUGACGGCCCUAUGGGUUGUAAACUUCUUUUGUCAGGGAGCAAUUGGGUCCACGCGUGGGCUUAGCGAGAGUACCUGAAGAAAAAGCAUCGGCUAACUCCGUGCCAGCAGCCGCGGUAAUACGGAGGAUGCGAGCGUUAUCCGGAUUUAUUGGGUUUAAAGGGUGCGUAGGUGGAAUAUCAAGUCAGCGGUAAAAAUUCGGGGCUCAACCCCGUCGUGCCGUUGAAACUGAU